AAAUGAAGUAUCAAUUUAACUUAUAAUAUACUCUAGAUAAUUGCUUGUUAAUCAUCAAAAUAACACUAUCAUCCUCAAUCUCCCCCUUUUUGAUGAUUACAAAAUAAAGAGUAUAAGCCUAUUGAUACUUGUCUUUAAAAUCAGUUUAUAAGAGGGUUUUAAAUUGCUGAAUUUCAGCUUUUCAUAUAUAAGAGUGAAAUCUCCCCCUAUAUCAUUCAAAUAUUGCCAAUUUGACUCUUUGAAUUGCUCCCCCUUUCAUUUAUAAUUCAUUAGUGAUGAAACUUCAAAAAUUUGAGAUAAAAUGUGAGUUUCAAGUUAUGUAUUGGGGUGCGAGAGGUGCGUGCCAAAUUCUGAAUUUAUAUGUGCCAAAAUCUAAAAUUUGAUAGAAAUUUUUGAUUUAAUCAAUUUCAUUAUUACAAAUUGCUCCCCCUUAGAUGUAU
rnacentral:lncRNA from 1 species